CUCUUUCACUCAGGGCCAGAUGUACAUGCUGGUCUCAUGGCGCUCUGAGCCUCAUGCAGCUUUCUCCUCGGUUUUGUCUCACACAGGUAUUUUCCCUGCUAAAAUCCUUUCACAUUUAAUCCCGAUGUGAUAUCUGAUAUUUGGAAGAUGUGCGCUCUCAGGCUUCCUGUUCUUACAGCCAUUAAAUAUUCUUCUUGGCGCUUUUCCUACAUACCAUCACAGCUGUGCAUGUGUGUUGCUCCUCGGCCCCCCGCCACCUGUUUCACCCUCUGAUUGUGCAGUGGGAGCAGCUCCUUUUCUCAGCCCAGCACAGCGUCCUGCCCCUUCACCAGGGAUGCAGUUAGAGACCAGUCAUCACAUGCCGGGAUGCUCAUAUUCUGGAGAGACCAGGUGGUGUUAUCUGAAGGUUAAAGCUCUGUGUUUAAUCCUUUCUCAGAGUUCCAGGAUAACAUUAUUCGUUUUCAAGCCUGGAAUGCUUCACAGGAGGGCUGUUGACUUCCAGCCUGACCAGUUUUCACGUUGUGGCCUGUAUGAUGCACAAUCGGCUUGGAAUGUCUCUGAGGUGACUUCUGCAGACCAUCCCAUUUUUGUACUCCAGCUGAAAUGAUAUGCGACUCGACCGCAUUCCCUCUUCCCUGGCCCUUCAUGCUCCGGCGUCAUUGGGAUGCACUUACCCCAAACUAAACUCUAACAGGUUCCUCUCCCUGUAAGUGUGGCCGGCAAGCCAGCGCUGGCACUCCUCCCUGCAGUGGACUGUGAAGAGCCAUUGCCACCUGUAGAUGGACUUGAGUAUUAAUGAAAAGACCAGCCUUCCUAAAUUGCCUCUGGACAUCACUGAUCUGCCAUUUCAGCAAUUUAAACAUGCUCCAAAGAAGAAACUCUAAUUAAAAUAAUGAAAAAUCUCCAUCCAUCCUCAUGCCACUUACAUCUCUUUUAUAACUGUGGACCUGUUCCAAUCUGUUUUGAUGUGUGCAUGUAGCUUUCACAUGGUUAGUUAGAUGGUUGUGUGUAUAGAGAGUUGUGUCCUACUUCUUUCACUUGUUCAAUGCUAUGACACAACCAUCAUGUUUAUUAUUUUUAAUAGUUACAUAAUAUCUGGUCAUUCAUAUGUAAUUUACUUAUUUCCCCCAAAUUGUUAAACAUCUAGAUUUUUUUUUGGUCUUUGGCUUUUAAAUGUUCCUAUUAAUGCUACUAUAAACAUCACUGUAUGUAGUAUUUUCAAAAUGCAUUUUCCCUGGAUCAACUCCCAGAAAUGGUACUAGUGAAUCAAGGGAUAUAACUAUGUUAAUGACUUUUGAUAGGUAGCCAAAUGUUCCUCCAAAAAAUACAAUACAGAUUUAUAAGGCUACUAGUAUAAAUAACAUCUAAGACAUGUAUUAAAGAAAUAAUUCAUUAUGUGUUGUUAUCAAGCAUAAAUAAGAUUAUAAUACAUUGUGGAACUUAAAAUCAAAACAAAACAGAACGAACAAAACAGCAGUAAACUCAUAGACACUGAGAAGGGAUUCAU